UACCGCGGUUAUACGGACAGGCCUAAGUUGACAGAUAUCGGCGUAAAGCGUGGUUAAGAUGUUUAAAAAGUAAAGCGAAACCACCUCAAAGCAGUUAUACGCGUUUGAGCUAUGAGCCCCAGCAACGAAAGUGGCUUUAUUUUCCUGACCCCACGAAAGCUAAGAAA
rnacentral:rRNA from 1 species